UACGAAGGGGGCUAGCGUUGCUCGGAAUCACUGGGCGUAAAGGGUGCGUAGGCGGGUCUUUAAGUCAGGGGUGAAAUCCUGGAGCUCAACUCCAGAACUGCCUUUGAUACUGGCGAUCUUGAGUCCGGGAGAGGUGAGUGGAACUGCGAGUGUAGAGGUGAAAUUCGUAAAUAUUCGCAAGAACACCAGUGGCGAAGGCGGCUCACUGGCCCGGUACUGACGCUGAGGUGCGAAAGCGUGGGGAGCAAACAGG
rnacentral:rRNA from 1 species